rnacentral:rRNA from 1 species
AAUAGAUACCCGGGUAGUCCAUGCCGUAAACGUUGGGCACUAGGUGUGGGGGACAUUCCACGUUUUCCGCGCCGUAGCUAACGCAUUAAGUGCCCCGCCUGGGGAGUACGGCCGCAAGGCUAAAACUCAAAGGAAUUGACGGGGGCCCGCACAAGCGGCGGAGCAUGCGGAUUAAUUCGAUGCAACGCGAAGAACCUUACCAAGGCUUGACAUGGACCGGAUCGCCGCAGAAAUGUGGUUUCUCCUUUUGGGGCCGGUUCACAGGUGGUGCAUGGUUGUCGUCAGCUCGUGUCGUGAGAUGUUGGGUUAAGUCCCGCAACGAGCGCAACCCUCGUUCCAUGUUGCCAGCGCGUAAUGGCGGGGACUCAUGGGAGACUGCCGGGGUCAACUCGGAGGAAGUGGGGACGACGUCAAAUCAUCAUGCCCCUUAUGUCUUGGGCUUCACGCAUGCUACAAUGGCCGGUACAAAGGGUUGCGAUACUGGUGAGGUGGAGCUAAUCCCAAAAAGCCGGUCCCAGUUCGGAUUGGGGUCUGCAACUGACCCCA